UAUAAAACUUUCACAUACAAUCUGUACGUCAAUCAUGAAAUUAAAAUAACAGCAACUCCACACAGAACCGCCUUGUGCCUUUCAGAGCGAUCAACAAGUUAGUUUUUACUGCAGACUUAAAUGAAUUAAGGGCAAGUCUAGCAUGUCUCGGGGCAUUUUAUUAUAUAUACGAAUACCAUUGCCCUACAAACGAGUUGUGUACCCUAUGUAGCCGGUGAGACGAACUGCAUAAUUUGUGCCUAUUUCUAGUAUUGAUAUUAUGUACAUCACAUUUUUAAGUGUAUAAAGUAAUGUUUUGUCGAAUAUAUAAUAUGUUGGCUAGAAUGAAUUGCGAAGUGACAGUCAAAAUGCCAACUUCCUUAAAGUGUUCUCUAAGAGAAGCCCUAGAGCCCAACUGGAAUAUUGAAUAAUAGCUCAUUUUUGCAAAACAAAGACAGUUUCAAUUUCUGCAGCUUUACCCCACAACAGUAUACCAUACGACAUGACGCUAUGAAAGUAGCUAAAAUAAACUAGACGAGCUGUUUCCACGUCGGUGAAUUUUCUAACUUUCCUAACCGCUUAGGCAGCUGAACUAAGCUUGCUUGCAAGACAUGAAAUGUGGGGUGCCCAUUUAAGUUUACAAUCAAUUGUAAUGCUCAAAAACAAUGUAGAUUCUACCGUCUCCAAUAUCUCAUUAUUUACAACAAUAUUGGGGCCUAAAUUUUUCACAUUUGGCAUCGCGAAUUUUAUGCAUUUUGUUUUCUUAGCGUUAAGUACCAAAUUAUUAACGGCAAACCAAUUGGUAACUAAAGAAAGCGAGUCAUUAAUAUCAUCAAAACUACUUCUAUUUAUAUUUACUAAAUAUAAGUGAAGUAUUGUAAGCAAAAAGUACAGUGUCACAGAUGCCUUUUAAAUAGAAUGGCAGGUCAUUUAUAUACACCA